CCCCUCUCAGGAUUGCACUGGAGGAUUUCCAGUACUCUACCAGUCUCGGCUAUGGGAGGGAGAGUCAAGCAGAGGCAUGCCCAUUCCAUUCCUAGCUUGGGCAGUGGCUAGUUAGUGGAAGGCAAUCUGCUACAAGU
rnacentral:snoRNA from 1 species